UGGCAUUUUACCAUUUUGUAGAUGAUGCAUGUAUAUUUUAUGGUACAUUAGGCGCCUCUGUAUAAUUAGCAUGUUCAACACAUGUAUGAUUUUGUGUCCGAUGUGAUGCCUAUGUCAUGGGACUUAUAGCAGAGUGUUAACCUUCUCAACAAUUACCAAAGUUAACAGUUGAAUCUGCAUUUAUGAUAAGAUGUUGGUCAAAAAGGUUGUCUGCUCUGCAUUUGGUCAGCGUUAAAACUCUCAGCUUUCAUGUUAUUCCUUCCCUGUAGUGACAAUUUGUUGGGUGACGUCAGCAUGCAGUGGUUUUAAAGAUGGGCUGCCUUUAUAAGGGAUGUAGGGAAAUUACUAGUUUAAAAGAUGACUUGACAAAUGACACCAGGCAGAAAACUAAUUUUGUGCAGAAGAUGAAGCCACAAACAAAUGACAGUGUAGCAUUUCCUGUGCUAAGAUUUCAUGAAUAAAGUAAAAGCUGAAUUGUCCUUAUUCCACCCCAAGUUUUAAAUUAGCAGUGCAUUUUGGUACCUACUCUCCAAACUGUGCCUUAAUUUUAGAAAAGCUAAAUG
rnacentral:lncRNA from 1 species